rnacentral:tRNA from 1 species
GUCGGGAUAGCUCAGCUGGUANAGCAGAGNACUGAAAAUC